rnacentral:rRNA from 1 species
UACGGAGGAUGCGAGCGUUAUCCGGAUUUAUUGGGUUUAAAGGGUGCGUAGGCGGAUCGUUAAGUCAGUGGUCAAAUUGAGGGGCUCAACCCCUUCCCGCCAUUGAAACUGGCGAUCUUGAGUGGAAGAGAAGUAUGCGGAAUGCGUGGUGUAGCGGUGAAAUGCAUAGAUAUCACGCAGAACCCCGAUUGCGAAGGCAGCAUGCCGGCUUCCUACUGACGCUGAAGCACGAAGGCGUGGGGAUCGAACAGG